rnacentral:snRNA from 15 species
UUAUACACCUGGUGCCGGGUUCAGGGUGAUCAAGAACGCUUUGACCCCUGCCGGUGGCUCAGCAUUGUACCUCGGUGAGUUGAUCGUGAUGGACUCUAAUCGAGUGCGCUCGGGUGUGCAGCUUUUGUCAAUGGGGAGGCCUCAUGGUCGUCUCUU